GCUGGUAGGGCUGCUGAGCAGGCUAUUGUGAUAUAAUAGUUGUGGGGCUAGUUUGGUGUCUCCGCCGGUA
rnacentral:tRNA from 1 species